rnacentral:rRNA from 1 species
AGCAGCCGCGGUAAUUCCAGCUCCAAUAGCGUAUAUUAAAGUUGUUGCAGUUAAAAAGCUCGUAGUUGAAUUUCGGGAUCAAUACGUCGGUCGUGCUUUCGGGUACGUACUGGCGUCAUUGGUUUCUCCUUUCUGACGAACCAUGAUGUCAUUAAUUUGGUGUUAUGGGGAGUUAGGACUGUUACUUUGAAAAAUUAGAGUGUUUAAAGCAGGCAUUAGCUUGAAUACAUUAGCAUGGAAUAAUGAAAUAGGACGUUCGAUCCUAUUUUGUUGGUUUCUAGGAUCAACGUAAUGAUUAAUAGGGAUAGUUGGGGGCAUUAGUAUUCAAUUGUCAGAGGUGAAAUUCUUGGAUUUAUUGAAGACUAACUACUGCGAAAGCAUUUGCCAAGGAUGUUUUCAUUAAUCAAGAACGAAAGUUAGGGGAUCGAAGACGAUCAGAUACCGUCGUAGUCUUAACCAUAAACUAUGCCGACUAGGGAUCGGAUGAUGUUAAUUUUUAAUGACUC